GGGCGGAGAGACCGGGAGGGACCGGGAGGGACCGGGAGCGACCGGGAGGGACCGGAGAGUUUUCAGAGAGUUUCCAGAGAGCGACCCCAGCCCCGGCACCGACAUGUCCACCGCCAUGAACUUCAGCAGCAAGAGCUUCGCGCCGCGGCCGCCGGACAAGGGCGCGUUCCCGCUGGAUCACUUCGGGGAGUGCAGCGCCUUCAAGGAGCGCUUCAUGGAGUGUCUGCGCCGCAGCGGCUACGAGAGCGCGGCCUGCCGGCAGAGCGCCAAGGCCUACCUGGAGUGCCGCAUGGACAGGCAACUUAUGGCUAAUGAACCACUGGAAAAAUUGGGAUUUAAAGACCUGAUAAAUGAGAAAUCAGAAGAAAAACCUGAGAAGUCGUGAUGAAGACAGACAAUAUUGCUCCUCGUGAAGGGAAACCAUUACUCUGAAUGUAGUACAUAUUGUACAUUCUGUUUAUAUUGCAAUAGGAAGUGUUUCCUGAAAGAACCUUUUUUCCAAAGUUUAAUUGUCCUAAAAGAAGAUUUUUCUUUAAAUGAGCAAAAAAUACUGUCUUUGUCUGCUUUGCUCAAGCAUUUCUUAACUUCUUUCUUUUAAUUUCUCUAGAGGCAAAACAGUUACAGCCCAAAGUGUUCUCCCUGUAAGAACAGUGAAGUCUUAUUUUAAGGGGACAAAAGCCCAAACCAAACAAUCCUUUAUUGUGUAGGUUUUUAACUACUGAUUAAUCUUCUGUGGGCAGUACUGAUAUGCUCACAGCAGUUACUUGCCAGGUGGAAAUGAAGCUGUUGUACUUUAAAAUUGAUUUUUAUUAAAUAUUGGCUUUAGUCCCCAUGCCUGGGGUGGUCUCACCCUGCUGUGGAAGACAUGGGGGUCCUGUGGGGGUACUUGAGGUGCAGUGUUUUUUCAGUAAUUUCAUCUUCCAUCAUUGUUGGGAGAGUGUUUCUAGUUCCAGACACCAGUCAGGGAGUGAUUCUGCUUUUAUUUACCAUGCCACCAGUGUUCACCUAAUUUUUUCAUCAUUUCACUGGCAAUAGUGAUAUUUCUCUUGCAUGUUCUAAUGCAGUUGAAGUAUUUCUUAAUUAAUGUUGAGUUCCAGCAGAAAUAAUUUGGCCUGUUAGCCCCCUAGAAAUGUGUUUCAAGCAGGCAAUAAAUCUGUAACUCUUCUGGAUGUGUUGCCCGCUGUAUGUUCUGCUGCUUUUGUGUUUGUUUUUAACCCAGUGAAUCAUUUCUCUGUGUGUCUGGCUCUCUCUGCCAAGGCAGGUCCCCAGUGCUUCCCACUUUAUCUGCUGUCCCCUCUCCGAUGCAUCUCACCUCCCCUGCUGGCUGCUUUUGCUUCUGCCUCUCUCCACGGUGCACCUGCUCAUACUGAGUUCAGGGAAGGGUGGAAGAACAUUUUCUGCUCUUCAUACUGAUCAUUGGGGCUGAGAUUGAAAUUGUUGCUCUGUCUUAUCUGAUGGAACAGAGUGCACAUAGCUCAGAGCAGGCUUCUGUUUGAAAAGGACAUUUGCUUGCUGCUGCAUAUUUUUAUUCCACUUCAUUCUACUGUUCAAAUGAUAUUCUUUGGUGAGAUUAGUACAUUUAUAGGAAAGAUAGAGAUUUUGUUGCUGCAACAGACACUAAAAGACAUUAUAUUAAACCACUGAAUAAGAGCUUUCUUUUAGCGAUACCAAAUUAGAAUUAAAAUAAUCUCCAGCAUCUUCAGAAGAAAGAAAUCAAAUUUCAUGCUUCUGUGCUCCCUGAAUAUUAUAAGGCAAAGUGAAUUCCUGGUAGGUCUGAAAGAACCCACCAGUGGUGGGGGAGUAAUCUGGGCUGUUACCAAUGGUAAUUUCAUUUUUUGGCUGUUACUCUGCACUGUUGUUUUGGCCAAGCAGUUCCUUCACCAGUUCCAUCUGCAUUGCCCUGAGACAUUGAUGCCAGCCCUGUCCUCCAGGUUGUUACAAAGUUGAGUGAUUGCCACCCUAAAAAGACUGCGGGGGGGAGAGGUUUGCACCUUUCAGCAGCCCUAAGAUCACAUCCUCAGCCUGUCCAGAUCCAUGGGCACACAGCGAGUCAGCUGCUGUCCCCUCGUGCCAGGACAAGGAGAGCUGAAAAUGAAAAUUCAGGGGAUGGGCAGAGGCACUUCUGUUCUGGCUGUAAGCAUUGGCAGCAGAAAAGAAUGUGUUCAGUGGAGCUUUAAGGGAAGCUCAGAGCUGCUGGGGGACAUCAGACAUUGAGAUCUGAUGCAGCUGAGAAGUGGGUGGGAAAAAAGCCAUUAGUGCCAGACCUGGGGUCAAACAGUUUUCCCAACUUUGUCAGGGGGAUAAGUCCCUGCAGCACUGGGAGAGUUCCCAGAAUGUUCUUCAAUUAAUUCCUGCCAAUGUACAAAUCAUUAGUUAAAUCUUUCCACUUGAAAUCUCUUUAUUUUAGUAUUGGUGGUGGUAUCCAGGUUUGUACUCCUUUAAACAGACAGUGGGGUAUAAGCCAAAUGAAAGCAGUAGGUUCACAGCCAACUUUGCUGUGCUGCAGGAGCUUGUCCUGGAGAGGUUCUGAUACGCUGAUUGGGAAAAAUCUGUAUUCUGGAAGCGCUGGGCUGAGCUGUGUGUGCUCCAGGGGAGGCAGUUUGUCAGGGACGCUGAUUUCUAGGUGGAGCUAUUUGGAGCUGAUGAGCUGCUGUGCUGCGGGAGUGCAUCAAUCUCCCUGUGAGGAGCCUGCCAGGUGCUGCCCGUGCCAGCGCUGCCUGAAGCUCCACCUGCUGACAGAUCCCGCAAAGCAUUGGGAAUCAGCUGGGAUUGACGUGCAGCUGCCAGCCUGGUGUCAUUGCACAGGUGUGGAAGGGAUAGCCCGAAGCGGGAGGAAGUGGUGACUGGUGAAGUGAAGGUCUGUGUGAGCUGUUACCAUCGCAACAGAAAUCAAUAAACCAGGGAGAUGCAA
ensembl:lncRNA